UUCCGGUUGAUCCCGCCGGAGGCCACUGCUAUCGGGGUCCGACUAAGCCAUGCGAGUCAUGGGGCUCCCUUUUGGGAGCACCGGCGAACGGCUCAGUAACACGUGGCUAACCUACCCUCGGGUGGGGGAUAACCUCGGGAAACUGAGGCUAAUCCCCCAUAGGGGAGGAGGUCUGGAAUGAUCCCUCCCCGAAAGGCGUAAGCCGCCCGAGGAUGGGGCUGCGGCGGAUUAGGUAGUUGGUGGGGUAAUGGCCCACCAAGCCUACGAUCCGUACGGGCCCUGAGAGGGGGAGCCCGGAGAUGGACACUGAGACACGGGUCCAGGCCCUACGGGGCGCAGCAGGCGCGAAGCCUCCGCAAUGCGCGAAAGCGCGACGGGGGGACCCCGAGUGCCCUGCCUCUGGCAGGGCUUUUCCGGAGUGUAAACAGCUCCGGGAAUAAGGGCUGGGCAAGUCCGGUGCCAGCAGCCGCGGUAAUACCGGCGGCCCAAGUGGUGGCCACUGUUAUUGGGCCUAAAGCGUCCGUAGCCGGCCCGGUAAGUCUCUGCUUAAAUCCCGCGGCUUAACCGCGGGACUGGCAGAGAUACUGCCGGGCUUGGGACCGGGAGAGGCCGGGGGUACCCCAGGGGUAGCGGUGAAAUGCGUUGAUCCCUGGGGGACCACCUGUGGCGAAGGCGCCCGGCUGGAACGGGUCCGACGGUGAGGGACGAAGGCCGGGGGAGCAAACCGGAUUAGAUACCCGGGUAGUCCCGGCUGUAAACUCUGCGGACUAGGUGUCGCGUGCCCUUCGGGGGCACGCGGUGCCGAAGGGAAGCUGUUAAGUCCGCCGCCUGGGGAGUACGGUCGCAAGACUGAAACUUAAAGGAAUUGGCGGGGGAGCACUACAACGGGUGGAGCCUGCGGUUUAAUUGGAUUCAACGCCGGA
rnacentral:rRNA from 1 species